rnacentral:rRNA from 1 species
GACGAACGCUGGCGGCGUGCUUAACACAUGCAAGUCGAACGGAAAGGGCCUGCUUGUGAGGGGUGCUCGAGGGGCGAACGGGUGGGUAACACGUGAGUAACCUGCCCUUGACUUUGGGAAAACUUCAGGAAACUGGGGCUAAUACCGGAAAGGAGCUCCAGCUGCAUGGUGGAGGUUGGAAAGUUUCGGCGGGUGGGGAUGGACUCGCGGCUUAUCAGCUUGUUGGUGGGGUAGUGGCUUACCAAGGCUUUGACGGGUAGCCGGCCUGAGAGGGUGACCGGCCACAUUGGGACUGAGAUACGGCCCAGACUCCUACGGGAGGCAGCAGUGUGGAAUAUUGCACAAUGGGCGGAAGCCUGAUGCAGCAACGCCGCGUGCGGGAUGACGGCCUUCGGUUUGUAAACCGCUUUCGCCUGUGACGAAGCGUGAGUGACGGUAAUGGGUAAAGAAGCACCGGCUAACUACGUG